GUUCCGUCGCCGCGGGCGAUGAGUGUUGUUUCUCUCUGCGACUCGGCCGACGAUGAAAAAAGGGUCACGGCGCAAGACUGGUCGGAUCCUCCGGAACGCCACAUCUCCUCGCCACCUUAUUUCAACCCCUCGGCGUCUCAUACGCACAAACGCCGUGCAAGCUGACCGGCCGACCCAGCGAAGCCCCGUGGAGCAUCACCGAGACGCCGAUCGGCCUCCAAGGGCAGGAAAUGGAACCAAGUGUUGGGAAGCGGUUUGUGAACGGACCCCAACGCGUUAUUUCAUGACGUCUUUGUGACUGAUAUGCUUUUAAUGAGCAUGAAUUUUGAAACCGACUGUGAGAUGUGGGGACGUGUGCAGAUUAAAUUCAUCAGACGAGGCGCUUCUGCUCCACCAAACAGGAGAUCGCUUAACAGUCUCAUAGUCUCAUAACCAGUUAAAAGUUCCUCUUUGGUCAACUUUAGGCCAAAAAACUACUCAGUUGAGGGAAAGUUGAGACAAAAUAAUGACUUAAUGUUUUGGGACAAAGUCCCCAUUUGACACUGCAGGUAAAUCCUGUGAAAUAUACUACAUGAAAUAAGUGUUCACACUCUUAUCUGUUGCACAUUGUAAUGGCCACUAUUUAAUUUCUUCCCAUCUUGCUAAUCUCGACUCUGCUGUGGGUGAGAAAUGAACACGUGGACACAAAACAGUCAAUUCUUAUCGGAGACGGAGACGGAUUAAAACACGGCUGUCCCGGUUUCAGUGUUUAUGUUUCUUACAAAGACAGAGAGAAGGCCUCAGAUCUCACCGGUGGCAGGCGAUCCAUACUCCUGUAUGAGUUACUGGGACUCUGGG
ensembl:lncRNA